GCUGGGUUAGCUCAGUUGGUUAGAGCAUGGUGCUAAUAACGCCGAGUUCACAGGUUCAAUCCCUGCUCACUGCA
rnacentral:tRNA from 1 species